rnacentral:rRNA from 1 species
GGUUAAGCGACUAAGCGUACACGGUGGAUGCCCUGGCAGUCAGAGGCGAUGAAGGACGUGCUAAUCUGCGAUAAGCGUCGGUAAGGUGAUAUGAACCGUUAUAACCGGCGAUUUCCGAAUGGGGAAACCCAGUGUGAUUCGUCACACUAUCAUUAACUGAAUCCAUAGGUUAAUGAGGCGAACCGGGGGAACUGAAACAUCUAAGUACCCCGAGGAAAAGAAAUCAACCGAGAUUCCCCCAGUAGCGGCGAGCGAACGGGGAGCAGCCCAGAGCCUGAAUCAGUGUGUGUGUUAGUGGAAGCGUCUGGAAAGGCGUGCGAUACAGGGUGACAGCCCCGUACACAAAAAUGCACAUGCUGUGAGCUCGAUGAGUAGGGCGGGACACGUGGUAUCCUGUCUGAAUAUGGGGGGACCAUCCUCCAAGGCUAAAUACUCCUGACUGACCGAUAGUGAACCAGUACCGUGAGGGAAAGGCGAAAAGAACCCCGGCGAGGGGAGUGAAAAAGAACCUGAAACCGUGUACGUACAAGCAGUGGGAGCACGCUUAGGCGUGUGACUGCGUACCUUUUGUAUAAUGGGUCAGCGACUUAUAUUCUGUAGCAAGGUUAACCGAAUAGGGGAGCCGAAGGGAAACCGAGUCUUAACUGGGCGUUAAGUUGCAGGGUAUAGACCCGAAACCCGGUGAUCUAGCCAUGGGCAGGUUGAAGGUUGGGUAACACUAACUGGAGGACCGAACCGACUAAUGUUGAAAAAUUAGCGGAUGACUUGUGGCUGGGGGUGAAAGGCCAAUCAAACCGGGAGAUAGCUGGUUCUCCCCGAAAGCUAUUUAGGUAGCGCCUCGUGAAUUCAUCUCCGGGGGUAGAGCACUGUUUCGGCAAGGGGGUCAUCCCGACUUACCAACCCGAUGCAAACUGCGAAUACCGGAGAAUGUUAUCACGGGAGACACACGGCGGGUGCUAACGUCCGUCGUGAAGAGGGAAACAACCCAGACCGCCAGCUAAGGUCCCAAAGUCAUGGUUAAGUGGGAAACGAUGUGGGAAGGCCCAGACAGCCAGGAUGUUGGCUUAGAAGCAGCCAUCAUUUAAAGAAAGCGUAAUAGCUCACUGGUCGAGUCGGCCUGCGCGGAAGAUGUAACGGGGCUAAACCAUGCACCGAAGCUGCGGCAGCGACGCUUAUGCGUUGUUGGGUAGGGGAGCGUUCUGUAAGCCUGCGAAGGUGUGCUGUGAGGCAUGCUGGAGGUAUCAGAAGUGCGAAUGCUGACAUAAGUAACGAUAAAGCGGGUGAAAAGCCCGCUCGCCGGAAGACCAAGGGUUCCUGUCCAACGUUAAUCGGGGCAGGGUGAGUCGACCCCUAAGGCGAGGCCGAAAGGCGUAGUCGAUGGGAAACAGGUUAAUAUUCCUGUACUUGGUGUUACUGCGAAGGGGGGACGGAGAAGGCUAUGUUGGCCGGGCGACGGUUGUCCCGGUUUAAGCGUGUAGGCUGGUUUUCCAGGCAAAUCCGGAAAACUAAGGCUGAGGCGUGAUGACGAGGCACUACGGUGCUGAAGCAACAAAUGCCCUGCUUCCAGGAAAAGCCUCUAAGCAUCAGGUAACAUCAAAUCGUACCCCAAACCGACACAGGUGGUCAGGUAGAGAAUACCAAGGCGCUUGAGAGAACUCGGGUGAAGGAACUAGGCAAAAUGGUGCCGUAACUUCGGGAGAAGGCACGCUGAUAUGUAGGUGAAGUCCCUCGCGGAUGGAGCUGAAAUCAGUCGAAGAUACCAGCUGGCUGCAACUGUUUAUUAAAAACACAGCACUGUGCAAACACGAAAGUGGACGUAUACGGUGUGACGCCUGCCCGGUGCCGGAAGGUUAAUUGAUGGGGUUAGCGCAAGCGAAGCUCUUGAUCGAAGCCCCGGUAAACGGCGGCCGUAACUAUAACGGUCCUAAGGUAGCGAAAUUCCUUGUCGGGUAAGUUCCGACCUGCACGAAUGGCGUAAUGAUGGCCAGGCUGUCUCCACCCGAGACUCAGUGAAAUUGAACUCGCUGUGAAGAUGCAGUGUACCCGCGGCAAGACGGAAAGACCCCGUGAACCUUUACUAUAGCUUGACACUGAACAUUGAGCCUUGAUGUGUAGGAUAGGUGGGAGGCUUUGAAGUGUGGACGCCAGUCUGCAUGGAGCCGACCUUGAAAUACCACCCUUUAAUGUUUGAUGUUCUAACGUUGACCCGUGAUCCGGGUUGCGGACAGUGUCUGGUGGGUAGUUUGACUGGGGCGGUCUCCUCCUAAAGAGUAACGGAGGAGCACGAAGGUUGGCUAAUCCUGGUCGGACAUCAGGAGGUUAGUGCAAUGGCAUAAGCCAGCUUGACUGCGAGCGUGACGGCGCGAGCAGGUGCGAAAGCAGGUCAUAGUGAUCCGGUGGUUCUGAAUGGAAGGGCCAUCGCUCAACGGAUAAAAGGUACUCCGGGGAUAACAGGCUGAUACCGCCCAAGAGUUCAUAUCGACGGCGGUGUUUGGCACCUCGAUGUCGGCUCAUCACAUCCUGGGGCUGAAGUAGGUCCCAAGGGUAUGGCUGUUCGCCAUUUAAAGUGGUACGCGAGCUGGGUUUAGAACGUCGUGAGACAGUUCGGUCCCUAUCUGCCGUGGGCGCUGGAGAACUGAGGGGGGCUGCUCCUAGUACGAGAGGACCGGAGUGGACGCAUCACUGGUGUUCGGGUUGUCAUGCCAAUGGCACUGCCCGGUAGCUAAAUGCGGAAGAGAUAAGUGCUGAAAGCAUCUAAGCACGAAACUUGCCCCGAGAUGAGUUCUCCCUGACUCCUUGAGAGUCCUGAAGGAACGUUGAAGACGACGACGUUGAUAGGCCGGGUGUGUAAGCGCAGCGAUGCGUUGAGCUAACCGGUACUAAUGAACCGUGAGGCUUAACCUU